rnacentral:tRNA from 1 species
GUCCAGGGAUGGGAAUCAAACCCACAGUGUUCCGUUUACCGGGCAGAUGUCAUGUCCACUAGGCUACCCUGGA